UGAGGUAGUAGAUUGAAUAGUU
rnacentral:ncRNA from 30 species